ACUAGGGAAAUUUUUCCCGAAGGGGGACUGCGGAGGGAUCAUUACCGAGUUUACAACUCCCAAACCCAAUGUGAACGUUACCAAACUGUUGCCUCGGCGGGAUCUCUGCCCCGGGUGCGUCGCAGCCCCGGACCAAGGCGCCCGCCGGAGGACCAACCAAAACUCUUUUUGUAUACCCCCUCGCGGGUUUUUUAUAAUCUGAGCCUUCUCGGCGCCUCUCGUAGGCGUUUCGAAAAUGAAUCAAAACUUUCAACAACGGAUCUCUUGGUUCUGGCAUCGAUGAAGAACGCAGCGAAAUGCGAUAAGUAAUGUGAAUUGCAGAAUUCAGUGAAUCAUCGAAUCUUUGAACGCACAUUGCGCCCGCCAGUAUUCUGGCGGGCAUGCCUGUCCGAGCGUCAUUUCAACCCUCGAACCCCUCCGGGGGGUCGGCGUUGGGGAUCGGCCCUCCCUUAGCGGGUGGCCGUCUCCGAAAUACAGUGGCGGUCUCGCCGCAGCCUCUCCUGCGCAGUAGUUUGCACACUCGCAUCGGGAGCGCGGCGCGUCCACAGCCGUUAAACACCCAACUUCUGAAAUGUUGACCUCGGAUCAGGUAGGAAUACCCGCUGAACUUAAGCAUAUCAUAGGCCGGGAGGAAAAACAACCCCAAGUACCAGCC
rnacentral:sRNA from 1 species